rnacentral:lncRNA from 1 species
UAAUCCAGUAAAUUUACCUUUUUACAUUGUUUUUCCUAGCAUGGAAGGGUGGAGGAAUGAAUAUGGGUGCAGUAUUAAAGUUGAACUGAUCUGGCAUACAGAACAUUCAAAAAUCUCUACUGGUAUAGGAGCAGAGUUUAUUGUAAGGGAAUGGGAUUGUCCUACUUGUAUUCCCUUGGACUGUUUACCACUGUCUUUAAGGCAGAAAUCUAUAAUAUAUCUGCAUGUAUUGCAAAGUCGCUAAUUCUAUCAACUAUCAAAUAUUAAUAAUAAUACUUAUAAGUAAACCUAACGGUUAAACGACU